ACCAUGCUGCAACAUAAGCAAAGGAAGCUGUAAAGAGGAACAAUUGUAUGGACUUAAGGAAGAAAAGAGCAUUUCAACCUCUGUUGUGCUAAUCAAACCAUCCCAUCUUAAGACGUGUAAGAGUUUGCGUUGUUAUGAUUGUGGAGGAAAGGACAUACAUGUAGGAAUUGUCCUAAUAAAUAUAACGUUACUGCAGUUUGACAAAAUUGAUGAGGCACACAACAAACACAAAGAAGUUGAUAGUGAUUAUGAGGAAUUUGUUGAGUGGAAUAUUCAGGUUUGAUGACUAUAUGAAGAAAAUGGAGGACACCUUGAGCUUCACUCAAAAUCACAGAUGGUUAUGCUUGAAAGUUUCAAUACAUUCAAUGAAAAUAAAGGGGCACCCAAUAUGAAAUGAAUAAUUUAAGAGUCAUAUGCUAUAUAUCAAGCAAUGGAGUGAGUACAAACUGUUUGCAAGUAUCUGUUCCAAAAUUUCCUUGUCCUUGCGCUGAUAAUUCCAAACAUCUAAAGCUAUAGUAUGAGUAGGCAUAUAAAGUUGGACUUUGAACCAGCGAGAACAUGUCCUACUCAACCUAACCUAGAUGGCAGCUCUGUAACUCUUUGGAGAAUUUGAACACCUGCAGUUACUGUAACUCUCCUCUGAGGAAGCUUUUUUUUCUUUUUUUUUUGGUGGGCUGGGGUGGGGUGGGGGGAGAGAACUAGGGUUUUUCUUAAAGAAGGAUGUAUUCCUAUUGAAGGUGGGCUUAGAUAUGAUAUAGAAAGAGAAAAAUAAAUGAAAGAAAUAGAUGAGAAUGAACAAUAGUAACUCUUUCAAUUGCUUAAUGCUCAACCAAAGCCUAAACAAAAUAUAAUUAAGAUAUAAAUCCCUUAAAUAAAAAGUAAAGUAAAAUAAAAUAAAUAACUCCAAUCCUAAAAUAGGAUUGCAUAACACAUAAUGAAAAACAAAUAAUAUAAAGCUCUAUUUAAAAAAAAAUCAUAAAACUUGCCUCAGAAAUU
rnacentral:misc_RNA from 1 species